CCCUUAGAUGUUCUGGGCGGCCCGCGCACUACAUUGGCACUCUCAAUAAGUUCCUAGAUCUAAAACUUUGGGGUAUUCUAUUAAGUGGUGUCGUGACUGGGAUUAACCCUUGCAAUUAUUGGUUACGAACGAGGAAUUCCUUGUAAUCGCGGUUUAUCAGCCCGCGUUGAAUGCGUCCCUGCCCUUUGUACACAUCGCCCGUCGCUCCUACCGAUGAAUCGUCCGGUGAAGUUCAUGGAGUGGUGGUUGUUCCAGCUGCUGUCGAAGUGAAAUGGACCUCACGAUUUAGAGGAAGGAGAAGUCGUAACA
rnacentral:rRNA from 1 species